GGCCGCGAAUUCGCCCUUAGGGUUUGAUUAUGGCUCAGAUUGAACGCUGGCGGCAGGCCUAACACAUGCAAGUCGAGCGGAUGAAGGGAGCUUGCUCCUGGAUUCAGCGGCGGACGGGUGAGUAAUGCCUAGGAAUCUGCCUGGUAGUGGGGGAUAACGUCCGGAAACGGGCGCUAAUACCGCAUACGUCCUGAGGGAGAAAGUGGGGGAUCUUCGGACCUCACGCUAUCAGAUGAGCCUAGGUCGGAUUAGCUAGUUGGUGGGGUAAAGGCCUACCAAGGCGACGAUCCGUAACUGGUCUGAGAGGAUGAUCAGUCACACUGGAACUGAGACACGGUCCAGACUCCUACGGGAGGCAGCAGUGGGGAAUAUUGGACAAUGGGCGAAAGCCUGAUCCAGCCAUGCCGCGUGUGUGAAGAAGGUCUUCGGAUUGUAAAGCACUUUAAGUUGGGAGGAAGG
rnacentral:rRNA from 1 species